AAAUUGAACCAAAUUGUAUGUAAAUUGCCUGUAGGAUACUCUCCUAAUCUUCCAGAGUAACUCCAAAACAGAAGAGCUACCUUCAUCUUUUUCCCUUUCCACCAUUCCAUGAGGAUGAGGACCCAUGUAUUCCCACUGCGAUAUCAAGGUAAGUCUGUAACAUACACAUCGUUAGAAUUCAUGUACACAACCAUCUGUUUAUUUUGAAAGGCAAUCGAGUGUAUUGACUUGCUUGGGAAUUUGUCAAUGAACUUGUCAAUUGAUGAAUUUGUCCAUCUCCCUAUUGGGAUCAAUCAAAUGACCAAAGAUUCUCUAGCAGAAGUACCUCAGCCUCUAAUCUGAAGCAGAACUCUUAAGAAACUCCCAUCAAGUAAGUCACACGUGCAUGAUAUAAAUAUGCCUCUAAACUUUAUAAACCAACAAUUUUCAUACACAGACAAAUUUUGUACUUUAACAGUGCUGUCAGCAGCAAUUUUAUUUCCCUGAUUUACAUGGUUCUUAUGUCUUGUGCUUAGUAACACCAUACUAAUCUUUCCUGUAUUUGUAGGUAAAAUGGAACAAAUAAACGAGUAUAGAUCUGCAAAUUAAUCAGGGAAAGAGAAUGCCUAAAAAUGGUCAUAUGCAACUGCUAAUCCAUAAAAUCUACAAGCUAUAUUGUCCUCUAGGCCAAAAUAAACAAACAAGAUAACCGUGCACAAUUUUUUCUGCUCAGAAGAUUGCAUAAAAUCAUUGAAAAGUUUCAUAUGUCCAGACAUAAUUCAGCAACUUCAUCAUUGCAAUUGUAUGAGAAAACCCAAUGGGAUGUCCAGGAAAUCAAUUAAAAAGUUGAUGUAAAAUAAUAGGUAUUAAGAAAAAAAAAAUCAAAAUGCACAUAAAUCUCAGAGACAAUCCAUGAGCGGAUAUUGCAGACAAUCAACACGGCAUCAGUUUCUGACCGCCCGUCUGCUUUUUCUCAUCAUUGUAAACAUAUCAAGUUAAAAAUUCUUAAUCAACAAAAAAACUAUAAAAAGAUUUAGUUAGAGAUGGAGAAGGCAUCAGACAAUAAGCGGAGAUUUGAAGUCCACAGUUAAUUCAGCAUGUGAGAGAAUAACUUAUUCAUCAUCUACCUUCAUCUUUGGGAUUCCCCAACCAUUUUCUCACAAAUGCAUAAUCAAACCAUAAAAAUCAAGAAAUUCUAAAUGGUAUCAAAAUCCCGCAUUUCUUCUAUCAAUAGACAAAAACAUGAAGGAUGAUUAACUAACAGCCAAUCAAAACAAACGCACAAGACUAAAUGGCAUCAGACAAUAAGCGGAGUUUUUUAUCAACACAACGAUUCAGUGUGUAGGAUAAGAACUUAUUCAUCACUUUGCCAUUUCAAAAUCCAAGUAUAGGUGUCAUAGGAGAAAAAAUACAAUAAAAUGAAGAUAAUUUUGGUAAGUCCAUUUGACACCAAGGCUAUAUCAAAGAUGCAGCAAUGGGCUGGUAAGCUAACCUUUUCGCUCUCUGCAUCCGUUAUAACUCCUCUAGCAUUGAAAUUUGCCGAACGAGGAGUGGGUAAACAGAUGCAAGUUUCAAUUCACAGAUUUCUCCUAUAAAAAAUGCAAGUAAUUUUCAUGCGAUGAAUCCCGAAUUCUAUGAAAUGAAUAGAACAAAUUAGAAAACUAUUGCAAUUGCCAUGGAAAUAAGAAAUCAAACAUGCGGAUCUCUAUUCAAAGAGAGAGAUUGCCCACAGCUGCUAAGAAUCUAUGGAGCAACGACGGCGAGAUGGUAAAGAGAGCCAUGGGGAUAGCGUUAAAUAGGGUUUUAAAGAAACUAGGGUAGUAGAGUUUACGAGAACUCGGGCAGAAUUUCUGUAUAAAGUUCAUUAUGG
rnacentral:lncRNA from 1 species